rnacentral:lncRNA from 1 species
UAUUUUUUUUACUUAUUUUGAUGUUGAUAUUAAAAAAAAUAUAAGACCUAAAUAUUUAGUAUAAAGUCUUCAGAGAAGGUAGAAGCCUAAGCAUGAAAAUCUACUAGUAGGAGGCUAAUUGAGAGGGAUGAAAGCAAGGAAUGGUUGAAUGAAGGCAAGGAAUAGAGAACUUCAUCUCUAUUGAUCAAAUACCAUGCUCAAUGGGCUUUGAGGAGGCUACCUACAACCUUAACAAGGAUUUUUGUAACUUCAAAGAGAGCAUUUGGAAAUUAGAAGCUACGGUUGUAAAUUUCAGGAUUUAAAUUACAAUUUGUAUACAAAAAUUAGAGAAUUUGGAGUUAGGAUGAAGAAGAUGUAGCCAUUUGAAGUUAAGGUAUUAAUUUAAGAUAUAUUU